AGUUUAUAUAUCGGUCCUCGAAAGUUAACAAUAGUAAUGAAGAAAACAUGGAGCGUGGUAGAAAGAAUAUUCAAACAGGACUACAAAAGGAGAAUGAAGAUGUUUGGAGCACUCAUAG